AUCUUCAUGGCGCAGUUGGCUAGCGCGUUCCCUUCACAUGAGUGUCCGGGAGAGGCCGCCGGUUCAAGCCCGGCUGAGGAUA